rnacentral:lncRNA from 1 species
GGUGGCCAGAGAGAUGUGAUGAGAGGACUCAACCCAUUGUCGCUGGCUUUGAAAAUAGAUUAAAGAGGCCACAAACCAAGAAAUGCGGGUGGCCCCUAGAAUAUGGAAAAGCAUUUCUAGGUGCAGACGAGGCAUUUGGGGCAUAGAAGAUCACACUCUUCUUCCGCCAUGUCUUAAGGUAAGGAGACUGAGAUGAAGACAGGAGAUAUACGUC